rfam:Vittaforma corneae ATCC 50505 unplaced genomic scaffold supercont1.1, whole genome shotgun sequence.
GGGUGUAUAGCUCAGUGGUAGAGCCUUCGGCUGCAACCCGAUAUGUCGCAGGUUCGAUCCCUGCUGCACCCU